AACGCUGGCGGCGUGCUUAACACAUGCAAGUCGAACGGUGAACGAGGGAGCUUGCUCCCUCCGGAUCAGUGGCGAACGGGUGAGUAACACGUGAGCAAUCUGCCCCGAACUCUGGGAUAAGCGCUGGAAACGGCGUCUAAUACCGGAUACGACGCGCGAAGGCAUCUUCUGCGCGUGGAAAGAAUUUCGGUUCGGGAUGAGCUCGCGGCCUAUCAGCUCGUUGGUGAGGUAACGGCUCACCAAGGCGACGACGGGUAGCCGGCCUGAGAGGGUGACCGGCCACACUGGGACUGAGACACGGCCCAGACUCCUACGGGAGGCAGCAGUGGGGAAUAUUGCACAAUGGGCGCAAGCCUGAUGCAGCAACGCCGCGUGAGGGACGACGGCCUUCGGGUUGUAAACCUCUUUUAGUAGGGAAGAAGCGAAAGUGACGGUACCUGCAGAAAAAGCGCCGGCUAACUACGUGCCAGCCGCCGCCGUAACAC
rnacentral:rRNA from 1 species